rnacentral:tRNA from 1 species
AGAAUUUUAAGUUAAAUGAAACUAAUAGCCUUCAAAGCUAUAAAUAAGAAAAAUCUUAAAUUCUG